CUACGGGGCGCACCAGUGAGGAAUAUUGGUCAAUGGACGAAAGUCUGAACCAGCCAUGCCGCGUGCAGGAUGAAUGCCCUAUGGGUUGUAAACUGCUUUUGUUUAGGAAGAAACCCCCCGACGUGUCGGGGGCUGACGGUACUAUACGAAUAAGGACCGGCUAACUCCGUGCCAGCAGCCGCGGUAAUACGGAGGGUCCAAGCGUUAUCCGGAUUUAUUGGGUUUAAAGGGUCCGUAGGCGGGAGAAUAAGUCAGUGGUGAAAUCCUGCAGCUUAACUGUAGAAUUGCCAUUGAAACUGUUUUUCUUGAGUAUAGAUGAAGUGGGCGGAAUGUGUCAUGUAGCGGUGAAAUGCAUAGAUAUGACACAGAACACCGAUUGCGAAGGCAGCUCACUAAACUAUUACUGACGCUCAUGGACGAAAGCGUGGGGAGCGAACAGGAUUAGAUACCCCAGUAGUC
rnacentral:rRNA from 1 species